GAGGGCCAGCUGCUUCUUCAGGAUGCCUAGAUUUUCGCGUUCUGAAUUUGCUUCCAACUAGUUUACCUCCGGGCUCCAGUGUUGCAGUUUCAUAGAUUUCCCAAGACUUUACAACUGAAGACCAAAGAAUGCUGGAAGCAAGAUCCAGAGAAUAAAAUUACAGAACCGUGGACAAUCGCAGCUAUACAUGGACGACAGGAACCUAAGUUAUCCUUCCAACAUGGACUUGUACAACACAUUUCAUCUGCUCCGCUGACACAGUCUCCUCACCAGCCCUGGGGUCCG